CAUUAGAUGGCUGAAAUGCAAGCGGUGGUCUCUUAAACCUUUGUAUAGUAAAUAGCAAUUACUUCUAAUGA
rnacentral:tRNA from 1 species